GAAUGAAGAAAGCAUGAUAAUAUGCAUAUAUAGUUGAUUUUGGUCUUUAGGCAUAUCCUCUUUGAUGCCUUUCGGCUUUGAUUUGUAGGCUAUGGUUCUACAGCAAAAUG